AGCGAACGCUGGCGGCAGGCUUAACACAUGCAAGUCGAACGCCCCGCACGGGGAGUGGCAGACGGGUGAGUAACACGUGGGAACGUACCCUUUGGUUCGGAAUAACAUGGGGAAACUCAAGCUAAUACCGGAUAAGCCCUUAUGGGGAAAGGUUUACUGCCGAAGGAUCGGCCCACGUCUGAUUAGCUAGUUGGUGAGGUAAUGGCUCACCAAGGCGACGAUCAGUAGCUGGUCGGGGAGGAUGAGCAGCCACACUGGGGCUGAGACGCGGCCCAGACUCCUACGGGAGGCAGCAGUGAGGAAUAUUGGACAAUGGGGGCAACCCUGAUCCAGCCAUGCCGCGUGAGUGAUGAAGGCCUUAGGGUUGUAAGGCUCUUUUACCCGGGACGAUAAUGACUGUACCGGGAGAAUAAGCCCCGGCUAACUUCGUGCCAGCCGCCGCCGUAA
rnacentral:rRNA from 1 species